AAGGGCGAAGGGCGGGGCGGGGCAGGAGAGUCAGGGUAUAGAGCAGGCAGGUGUUAAUGGCAUGGGAAGGAAGAGUACGAAGUGGGGCAAGAAGGUGUCGCGGUACGAGGGGAAGGUGAGACUCAAGAAGGUGCCGGCUAAGAAGCUGGUGCCGGCGUGGAAGGAGAAGGUGUGGGGCGAGGAAACAACGAAGGGCGAGGAAAGAUCCCGAGGCGAAGAGACAGUCUUCCUCGAGAAGGGGCAGGGCGAGGAGGAGGGGCGUUACCAGAGGGCGGGACGGGGCGAGGGGCCCGCGCGGGAAGAACCAAUCGCCGAGAACCCGGGGAAGGAACGGGUCCAUAAAGACCAGGUGGAGGAGUAUGGGCGCGGUCAGGAGCGGAAGCAGAGUUCUAGCCACGUUAUGUGCGGCCCAGCCAUGUUCCCUGCCGGUCCUCCGUGGCCCAGAGUCCGAGUCGUGCAGGUGCUGUGGGCCCUGCUGGCAGUGCUCCUGGCGUCGUGGAGGCUGUGGGCGAUCAAGGAUUUCCAGGAAUGCACCUGGCAGGUUGUCCUGAACGAGUUUAAGAGGGUAGGCGAGAGUGGUGUGAGCGACAGCUUCUUUGAGCAAGAGCCCGUGGACACAGUGAGCAGCUUGUUUCACAUGCUGGUGGACUCACCCAUCGACCCGAGCGAGAAAUACCUGGGCUUCCCUUACUACCUGAAGAUCAACUACUCCUGCGAGGAAAAGCCCUCUGAGGACCUGGUGCGCAUGGGCCACCUGACAGGGCUAAAGCCCCUGGUGCUGGUCACCUUCCAGUCCCCAGUCAACUUCUACCGCUGGAAGAUAGAGCAGCUGCAGAUCCAGAUGGAGGCUGCCCCCUUCCGCAGCAAAGAGCCAUGCAUGGCAGAGGAAGUGUGUAGCAUGAGCUGGUACACGCCCAUGCCCAUCAAGAAAGGCAGUGUGGUCAUGCGUGUGGACAUCAGCAGCAAUGGCCUGGGGACCUUCAUUCCAGAUAAAAGGUUCCAGAUGAAUAUCAACGGCUUCCUGAAGAGAGACCGGGACAAUAACAUCCAAUUCACUGUGGGAGAGAAGCUCUUCAACCUGAUGCCCCAGUACUUUGUGGGUGUCUCAUCGAGGCCCUUGUGGCACACUGUGGACCAGUCACCUGUGCUUAUCCUGGGAGGCAUUCCCAAUGAGAAGUACGUCCUGAUGACUGACACCAGCUUCAAGGACUUCUCUCUCGUGGAGCUGAGCAUUGACAGUUGCUGGGUGGGCUCCUUCUACUGCCCCCAUUCUGGCUUCACAGCCACCAUCUAUGACACUAUUGCCACCGAGAGCACCCUCUUCAUUCGGCAGAACCAGCUGGUCUACUAUUUUACAGGCACCUAUACCACACUCUAUGAGAGAAACCGCGGCAGUGGCAGUUGGGUUCGUGUCCUGGCCAGCGAGUGCAUCAAGAAGCUGUGCCCUGUGUAUUUCCAUAGCAAUGGCUCUGAGUACAUAAUGGCCCUCACCACAGGCAAGCAUGAGGGUUAUGUACACUUCGGGACCAUCAGAGAUGGCCAGGUGUCCUUUGAGAUGCUGCCCAGGCAGUGGUCUGUGUGCGAGCAGAUAGGAGUUACCACCUGCUCCAUAAUUUGGUCUGAAUACAUCGCGGGUGAGUAUACCCUACUGCUGCUGGUGGAGAGUGGAUAUGGUAAUGCCAGUAAACGUUUCCAGGUGGUCAGCUACAACACAGCUAGUGAUGACCUGGAACUUCUCUACCACAUCCCAGAAUUCAUCCCUGAAGCUCGAGGAUUGGAGUUCCUGAUGAUCCUAGGGACAGAGUCCUACACCAGCACUGCAAUGGCCCCCAAGGGCAUCUUCUGUAACCCGUACAACAACCUGAUCUUCAUCUGGGGCAACUUCCUCCUGCAGAGCUCUAACAAGGAAAACUUCAUCUACCUGGCAGACUUCCCCAAGGAACUGUCCAUCAAAUACAUGGCCAGAUCGUUCCAUGGGGCUGUGGCUAUUGUCACAGAGACGGAGGAGAUCUGGUACCUCCUGGAGGGCAGCUACCGGGUCUACCAGCUGUUCCCUUCCAAGGGCUGGCAGGUGCACAUCAGCUUAAAGCUGAUGCAACAGUCCUCUCUCUACGCAUCCAAUGAGACCAUGCUGACCCUCUUCUACGAAGACAGCAAACUGUACCAGCUGGUGUACCUUAUGAACAACCAGAAGGGCCAGCUGGUCAAGAGGCUCGUGCCCGUGGAGCAGCUUCUGAUGUAUCAACAGCACACCAGCCACUAUGACUUGGAGCGGAAAGGGGGCUACUUGAUGCUCUCCUUCAUCGACUUCUGCCCCUUCUCGGUGAUGCGCCUGCGGAGCCUGCCCCGUCCGCAGAGAUACACGCGCCAGGAGCGCUACCGGGCGCGGCCGCCGCGCGUCCUGGAGCGCUCGGGCUUCCACAACGAGAACUCGCUCGCCAUCUACCAGGGCCUGGUCUACUACCUGCUGUGGCUGCACUCCGUGUACGACAAGCCGUACGCGGACCCGGUGCACGACCCCACCUGGCGCUGGUGGGCGAACAACAAACAAGACCAGGAUUACUACUUCUUCCUGGCGAGCAACUGGCGAAGCGCGGGCGGCGUGUCCAUAGAAAUGGACAGCUACGAAAAGAUCUACAACCUCGAGUCCGCGUACGAGCUGCCGGAGCGCAUUUUCCUGGACAAGGGCACUGAGUACAGCUUCGCCAUCUUCCUGUCGGCGCAGGGCCGCUCGUUCCGGACGCAGGCAGAACUCGGCACCGUCUUCCAGCUGCAUAGCCAGGUGGACGUGGGCGUGGUGCUGGCCGACCCCGGCUGCAUCGAGGCCUCGGUGAAGCAGGAGGUCCUGAUUAAUCGCAACUCGGUGCUAUUUUCGAUUACGCUCAAGGAUAAAAAGCUUUGCUAUGACCAAGGCAUUAGUGGACAUCACCUUAUGAAGACUUCCAUGACGGUCAAUGUGGUGGGUUCAUCCGGGCUCUGCUUCCAGGAAACACACCUGGGGCCCCAUAUGCAAGGCAACCUGAUGGUGCCAGUGUUCAUUGGCUGCCCCCCGGGCAAGCGCCUGGCCUUCGACAUCACCUACACGCUGGAAUACAGCCGCCUGAAGAACAAACACUACUUUGACUGUGUUAACGUGAACCCGGAGAUGCCCUGCUUUCUCUUCCGGGACAUUUUCUACCCCUUCUUCUUGAUUCAAGAUUUGGUGACAGGAGACUCCGGCAGUUUCCAGGGCAGCUACGUUCUGCUGGUGGUGGGUGGCGGGCCCACACUGGACAGCCUCAAGGACUACAGUGAGGACGAAAUCUACCGCUUCAACAGCCCCCUGGACAAGACCAACAGCCUUAUCUGGACCACGAGGACCACAAGGACCACCAAAGACUCAGCCUUUCACAUCAUGUCCCACGAGAGCCCAGGCAUCGAGUGGCUCUGUCUGGAGAAUGCCCCAUGCUAUGACAAUGUUCCCCAAGGCAUCUUUGCCCCUGAAUUCUUCUUCAAGGUGUUGGUGAGCAAUAGGUGAGCCAGAGGAGUGGACACGAGCACCUACUGCAACUACCAGCUCACCUUCCUGCUGCACAUCCACGGGCUGCCACUCAGUCCCAAGCGGGCCCUUUUCAUCCUCAUGGUGUCAGCUAGCGUGUUUGUGGGCCUGGUGAUCUUCUACAUCGCCUUCUGCCUCCUGUGGCCCCUCGUGGUGAAGGGCUGCACGAUGAUCCGGUGGAAGAUAAACAACCUCAUUGCCUCAGAAUCCUACUACACCUACGCCUCCAUUUCCGGAAUCUCGAGCGUGCCGUCUCUGAGACAUUCCAGGAUGGGCUCCAUGUUCAGCUCCAGGAUGACAGAGGACAGGGCUGAACCCAAGGAAGCCGUGGAGAGACAGUUGAUGACCUGAGUGUCCCACCUGCCCCAGCCCCCAGUCACUGUCACGCCUCUCCUAUGAGGCCCAUCUUGAAGAUGCAACCUGUCACCCAGCCCAGGCCUCUCUUUCUGUUUUGCUUGAUGUUUACUUCUUGUUCGACUCAAAUAAAGCCUUUUUGCAGGA